GAGUGCGGGAACCCAGUCGGGUCCCAAUCUCCCACCCGUGUCUACCACACCUAGUGUUGCUUUGGCGGGCCCACUCCUCCGGUGUUCCGCCGGGGGGGUCGUCCCGGGGCGCGGUGUGCCCCCGGGGCCCGUGCCCGCCAGAGGCACUCACUGUGAACGCUUUUGUGAAUGCGAGGAUUGUCUGAGUGACGAAAUGCAAUCGUUCAAAACUUUCAACAAUGGAUCUCUUGGUUCC
rnacentral:misc_RNA from 1 species